GACAGAGGUGCCGAGCGUUAGGCGGAAUCACUGGGCUUAAAGCGUGUGUAGGCGGACGGGUAAGUCCCUUGUGAAAUCCCACGGCUCAACCGUGGAACGGCUGGGUAUACUGCCCGUCUUGAGCCACUUAGGGGCCGUCGGAACAAAUGGUGGAGCGGUGAAAUGCGUAGAUAUCAUUUGGAACGCCAAAGGUGAAAACAGACGGCUGGGAGUGUGCUGACGCUGAGACACGAAAGCCAGGGGAGCGAACGGG
rnacentral:rRNA from 1 species